rnacentral:lncRNA from 1 species
CACCAAUCUUUGUUAGACAUGAUUGAUUCAUUGAUUGUGUAACUUCAAGCUUUAUGAAAAUUUAGACUUGUGGCUUACAACUAGAUGACAACAAAUUGACUUUCUUUUCUUCUUUUUAGUUGUUGAAUUUUAUCAUAACCGUCUAGUACACAAUGGCGAGGAAGACUGAUCUCUUUUACACAAGGUCGAGAAGUCACUCAGGUAUACAAUAUAGAAGAAAUGAGUUUUCUUUUCCUUGUAGUACUACGGGCUUGCAACAGCUUCUUCUUCUUCUCUGUACGGAAACUUGCUUCCCCGCGGGGUUUGAGCUAACCGUGAUGGAUGAGGCCUCUCUUGAAUAGGAAGGGGCUCUAACAGCCCUCCAGGUUGCUUUUGCUCAAUCGUCGUCUUGUUGGCAAACAAGACAGCACAUAUGACUCCACAUCAUCCCGCAAUUUUGGCCAGUAGUGUAGUAGCUAUCCCCCACUAAGGCCAAAGUUCUGUGAGCUGUGUGCAUGUCUGCUUUCUUCUUCUCAGAUGCUACAUAACCGCUCGAUCUUGUACCCGGUACACUGAACACCAACUCAAUCUCGAUUCUCUGAAGCAGCAAACUCUCAAAAAAAUGAAUUGACCAAUUGACGACGCUCCUUAUUCAUUAUAACGAUAUUUGAGAAAUUCUAUUGUUUAACCACGAAGAGUGUAUCUGACGGAGAAAAAGCACGAUAUUCUGACCUGUGGUCAUUAUAGCGGUUCCUUCUGCUCCUAGAAAACGUCCGAAAAAACCUGCUACGAGAAAUACGAUAAGUAGAUCAUUUUCAUCCCCGGACUAUAUAGUAGUCCGUCUUCCAAACCCGAACCCGCUUCAAGCCGGUUCAAGAAAAAGCCCAGAGAGAAGCUGAAACUCCUUACGUCUAUCCUCCCAGACCAGAUCGGCAUAUGGGAAUUCUUCCCUAAAGGAAGGUGGGGCAACGACCCAAUUGCAAGAGCGGAGCUCUACCAACUGAGCUAUAUCCCCCCGAGCCAAGUGGAGCAUGCAAGCAGCCCCCUCGGCAUACUAUUCAUCGAACAUCACAGUAGAAGCCAUACGUGGGGCGCAAAGAGCUUGUUCCCUGUCGUGAUGUGAUCGAAUGAGCGAUCCACUAUAUCGCUAAAAAAGGGUGCACCUCUCAGUAGAAGGGCGUAGCAGGAAGAUUCGUCGGAACCCGAGAGCUAGCAAGAGAAUAGAAAGAAUUCCAUGUUGGCACGCUCCCUCCUAUUGUAGGCUUAUUUUCCACUGGACAGUGUUACGGAAACUUCCAACGAAAAUGGCUGCUUUAUUCAUUUUGUGUUUGCAAUGAAUUGAGUGGUUCCUUCGAGGAAGCGCUGUAAAAUGCGAACACGGUGGUACCAUGGCAGGCGAGGGAGAUCCAUAAAUGAAAGACGAGAGCAAGGCUCUCUCCUCAGAAGUUUUUUCUCGCUACCUGCUUUUACGCUGGGAUCGGUACUACCGUGGGCAAGAGAGAUGAGACCGAAGGUGUAGUUCUCCACCAUAAAGAAAAGCAGGAGGAAGACGGGCACAUUCAUCUGUAUUGUCAGAACAGAUCAACGAAGGCAUACCGUGCCACCGGGGGUGACGAGAGCGCGUCGUACUGUGUGGAGGAAGGCAAGAUAGCUCUACCCAUGCCACAUUUCCAGUUGGCCGACCCAUUAAUCCAAUUUGAGGAAGAAACGAACUCUUUCCAUUUUUUUUAGGGGCUUGGAGCAGAUGAAGCCUUCUUUCUUCUCGGUCCGCUUUGGCUCCUGAUCUUGAGCUCGCUGUUCUUGGCCUAUACCGAAUAAGCCCUCCUGGAAUAUCCAGCUUUUUUCCUUUUGCAGAAUUGUCUGCCUUUCUCUUUUCGCCAACCACAAAUCAGGAUUCAAUUGUAAUUUAAGGAAGAUAGAGAAGAAGUGGAAGUCUUGGGCCUUCACUUCGAUGUUUGACCCUUUUCUGCUCCCCGGUCCUUAGCUGCCCAUCCCAUAACCCGCUUCCCUCGACUGCCUUCAGAGGUAGGAGGGGUUGUCAUGAACUGUCCACAUGUUCAGCCUGGCCCUCAAGCUCUUCUUUGGUUUGGCCCGGCUAGCCCUGUCAGUCUUUUUGUUUUCCCUGAGGCAAGGUCGGGGUCCUUACAAACAGGACAAAUAUAGACCAAACCUUUGAAGGAUGAGGUUCCAUCGGAUGGAUCGAGGCAGGAAUGAAUGCUUGAAUGUUAGUGAAGUGGGGAAGAGGAUAUGAGAGGAUACGUACACCCUUGCCUUCGAAAGCCAAGCCAACUCAAGAGCUCCUGCUCGCUCCAGAGAGGAUUUCUUUGAUUGGCGAUUUCCUCCAUUGCUUUAUAUUAAUUAAUAAAUAAAGAAAUAUAAGAAACGCGCGAUACGCAGCAUCAAUCAACGGAAAAACGUAGUCACGGCCUGUGCUAUAAUGCAUCCCCAAAGGCCCUACACCCCUCAACACCUCGUGGGAUAAAUUCUUCAGCAGAAGACUCACAAAGGGAUACUGACAAGGCCAAAAACCUUUCUGAUACGAAUUCGGGGGCUCGUGCUUCUAUUCUUCAUUUCAAAAGAGUCCCCACUGAGAUGUAGUAUGUGCUGGCCCGCCCUUGCUUGGGCAUAGUUUUGCUCUAAUAUGAUCAGAUUUAUAAGUAAGCAUCUCUUGUAAAAUAUGAGCAACACCAAAUCCUUCUAGAGCCCAAACCUCCAUUUCUCCUACUCGUUGGCCCCCUUGUUUUAAUAUCAAUCGCAGUGACCCAUCAGAUAGAAGACAAAGAAUUCCAGUAUGUGCCGUGCUUUGUCAGUUCUAAAAGCAGGUGGAAGACCUCCCCUUCCAAGAUGUUUUCACCGAUGGAGGGGCAUUGCAUCCAUUUUCUUCAGAGAUGCCACAAGUGCCACAACUCCUUCUGAUUCAAUUGCAAGUGGUGGAUAGCUUAAUAGUAAAAAAAAGGAGGAAGGAAGCCAGGGAGCAGCACUAGUCUUUCUUGGUGUGAUCGAAUGACUUCGAAAGAGACUAGGCGCUGACCGAUAGGAUUAGAAGGAGUAGGCGAUGACUGAACUGAUAGGAUCACAAGGAGGAGGAUGAAGGGAAAGCUUGAGUUCUUCUUUCCUCCCCCAACAACUGAUGGAAUUAGCGCGAAAGACUCAUUCUGCUUUGCUGUGCUUGCUUGCUAGCUAGAACGCGCAGAGCCGAAGACAACUAUAACUAUAAAAUUAGAAACCGACAUCUUUAUCAAAAUGGCCCAAGAUUUUUUUAAUAUAGUAGGACCUUGGCCCAUUUUUGCUGAUAUCGUCUACUAUUUUAUUUAAUAUAACAAUUUCGCUCCGGCUGCUAACUGUUGUUGCCAAUCUACUAGGCCUAAGACAACUUCCUCUAAAAAGAGAGGAAUUGGGUCUUAAACAAGGCUGCUAAUGAAAGCGUUCCACUCGGUGACUUCGCUAACUUUCGAGUUGACUAAUAAGGCUAUUGCUUCUUUCUUCUAGGGAAGGUAUAACAUUUCCACGUUCAAGCUUUGUACAGAAAGGAAGGAAAGCAGAAAAAAAGGGAAAGAGUGCAUCAAGAAGAGUGACCUUUCCUUUCAAGCGUAUGAAUCUAUGCAUCGACAGGGAAUAAGAAGCAAGGUGAUAAUACGGUAAGGAGUAGUUAACUUUCCCCGCUCCAAACAUACCUAUUUAUUGAUAAGGUGAGGAAGGCUUCAUUCAAGGAGCAAGAUCGACAAGGCAUAAACCGUCCACCACAUAGAGCUCGGUAGCCUACUAACUAAGGAAGCUCCAUAUUCUAUUUAAGCUGGCGAAGACGUAAGCCUUCCUUAUGAUCGAUCACCCUUUCCCGCUGGUCCAGUCAGUUUUUCUUUCUUCACUUCCUUCCGCUUAGCCGAUAGCGCAAGGCAUCCGUUUCCAAGGUCGGGUUCAGUUCAUGCAUAAUUCGGACAGUGGGGUUUUUUUCCAAUGGAACUGGAGUAGCGGAACUAGCACGACGAACAAUGCUCGGCACUCUGUCAAGUGACCCCCUCUCAUUCUCUAUAAGCCCUAUAGUUGCCCUGUAUAAGCAUUCUUAGCUCAAUACCCUUUCACCGCCUUCUCACGCUAAUGAAAGCCCUUACAGAACAACUACUGCGAGAGCCUUUCCUUCCCCUAUACGGAAGGAUACUUUAUUUGGUGGCGAGCAGCCCUUAAACCAAAAAAAAGGUUUGGAACCCUUCCCCUAUUUAUUUUAUACAUUUCAUGACUUUAUGAUUGAUUGUUUCGGAGGCGAGAAAGAGAACAGAUAAACGAAUUGAAAGGGAUGGGGUAGAUAGGUGGCUCGGCCAUCCAACUACUUCUCGACCGGCCCAGCUGCUAGUCGUCGUGGCAAGGCUCGGCCAGUUGCUUCAAUGAUUUUGGACAACCCUUACCUUACAACCACCGGGGAUCUACUUAUCAAACGGGUAAAACGGCUAAACAAGACUUGGAUUACCGUAACCAUUGGCGGGGGAAUCGGAUUAUUUCUUCACUAUCUUGCGCUUACCUUUCCUUUUUCGAUAGGUAGAAGGAAGACCACCCCAACCUUGAUCCUAACCCAAGGGAAUGAAGGUUCAGCUUGCUUAAGAAAGAGCAUUCAAGGAACUUACAUUGAACAAUAAAGAUCGGAUGCCCGGCCUUGUACACCCCUUUCUCAUUACAGCCCAAACUCAGGCUCGAUAGACCUAUUAAAGAGAGCUGCCACCCUUUGCUUUUUCUUUUCAUAUGGACUGAAGCCGGCCUUUUGUAGUUGACUAUCAAAGUGUCCUUCAGAUCCCCACACUUAGGUUAUACGUCAUAGAUAGAAGACUCCGCUAUCAGACUAGGGCUAUUCUUCGCUUGAAUCCCUACUUCCACAGCUUUGGUGGGUGAUUCGCCCUUUCUCAUUGGUGCUUUUCCUAUUGGGGUACCUUUCAUAGUUAAUAGAUUGGCUAUGGGGAUAUCCUUAUUGGGAAUUAACUUCCUGGGCUCCCCCAAAAGAGACUCUUUGACUAUGGUGGCUUGUUAAUUAAUUCGGUCUUACGAGGGAAAAUUUCUACUGUUAACCAAAGCACUAAUCUCUUCUAAGCCCUUCCCCGUGGGUCCUUCAAAGACCGUAUUCUUAGCAUCCAACGUAUUGUAUUUUCCGCAUCUCUAAAUAAUAUAUCUUUCAUGCCUUUGAAACUGGGGAAUAUUAAAAGAGUCUGUUUGAAAGAAGAAAGCACUACUUCUUCGAAGUAAUGCCUUGCCUUAGCCUUCGGCACCCUUUUUCCCCAUGUUUUGGAGAUCCAUGCGAUCUGGGGCCUUAUCAAUGUUAUGCUUGUACUGCUUGAGGAAGGCUAAAGCCAAGUCCUUCCACUUGCGAAUGUGGGAUCGAUCUAACUGUAUAUAUCACCGGGAAGCGGCUCCCGUAACCUACUGUUGAUGCGGCAUUAAUGUCUCUUGCUGGUGGAANGUGGCGAGCAGCCCUUAAACCAAAAAAAAGGUUUGGAACCCUUCCCCUAUUUAUUUUAUACAUUUCAUGACUUUAUGAUUGAUUGUUUCGGAGGCGAGAAAGAGAACAGAUAAACGAAUUGAAA